GCCCGGCUAGCUCAAUGGCAGAGCGCUGAACUUCUACUGUCACUCAAAUGAAUGUGUUGUGAAUUCAGAGGCUGGGGGUUCGAGUCCCCCGUUGGGCU